UAUUUUUAAACUAGGUAUGUACAUUUAUUAGAGGAGACUGAACCAUAAAGUUGAACAAAAAGAAUACAGUACACAUUGUCGACCUGCCGAAGGACAUUCGAGGCACUUUGCAUGAGAGAUUCGGUAAAGUUGUGAACAACCUGCUGGACAGGAACAACUUUAACGUACACAAGGAAGCUAAAAUCCAGUUUGUGGAGCAACAUCAUCCGGAGGAGAGAAGCAGCUGUUUCGUUGUAGUAAACAGUUUUAUCACUGCUCACUUUUCCAUUCGGGGUCACAACUGAGAAAAUGAGCCAAUCUAGUAGUGUGUCCCCUUAAUACAAGCCAUGAAGUAUUCUAUAUUUAUCAGUAUUCUGAUGAAGGAAAGAAGGUGGAUGAUCCAUUUGGCUGUGUUCGUCUCCAGCUGUCUUUCAAAAGGGGGGAGCUACAAAACGUUGCAUUGAAUGUAUGUACUGAGCACUGAAUCGUGUCAAUUAUCUUAUUUCGUAUCCUAAAAUUCUAAAUAUCUAUGCAACAUAUUACAUACAUAUGUUUAAUUGAAACUUAAAGAAUGAAACAAUCGGGAAAACAAAUGAAUACCCCAGAAAAACUGAUACUUUACAUCUUGCUAUUUUACUUACGUACCAGAAUGAGAAGACAGAAAUACAGACCAUUUAAUUGUUUUAGAUCAUUUCAAUUCUUCUAAUAAAAAUGUUAACAGCGCUUCAUUGAGUUGGAAUGUUUCCACAUCUGAAAGCGGACAAAGCAAGAGGUGAUAUCUGGAAAACAAGAUUAUGACCAAGGAAGUUAGCUUUCGGCAGCAGGCUAGACAGCUUUCAUUAAAAUAAUCGCUUUACAGUGAGAUGAGCAAAUGGAUAUCAACGUCGUGACUGUGUUACAUAUAGAGCUCUUGUCAUCAUGCUAAAGUUCACCAAAUGACAAAUUCCAUCGGAUUGUUUAAAUCUGUUCACAAAACAAUACAUAGAAAUUACAACUAUUACAGAGAAGUUACAUGUAACUUGUUUUCCUGGUGACUGUCUUAAUGCUAGGCUAGGCUAAUCAUGUACUCUGGAACUGUGAGAUGAGAAUAUCAGCAUCAGCAUAAAGGCUGGAAGUAGGCGGGAAAGAGCUCUAAAUACCAAACAUUGUGACUUUGGUGGUAGCGUGCAGAAACAGUCCUGUACUCCAGUGAAGUUUGGACAAAGCGUAUCUGGCAACCCACGGUGUAGCCGGAGACGCAGUGUGACUUACGCAUACGUAAGUCACUGAAAGGCAGCCCGAUUACGCUACAAUCUCGCUUUCCCAACAGGCCUUGGAUGUGAAAUAUCUACAGGACGUGUAUGGGUUGACUGGGUAGAAAUUAUGUUAACAAUUAGACCAAUAAAGCAGAAGAGAGUAAGCGAUUCGAUUAAUUUCUUCAGCUUUAUAGGUCUAACCGAUUGCUUUUGAAUUGAAUCAAUUAUUCAAUCCAUAGAAGGCAAUUUGCUAAUGUUUUGACUCCUAACCUAGUCAGUUUUAACCAAAAUUUCCAAACGUUGGCUUGUUUUAGCCACUAAAUUAGAAUUUGCUGCUUUUCCAUUUACUGUAUAUAAUAA
ensembl:lncRNA